rnacentral:rRNA from 1 species
UACGAAGGGGGCUAGCGUUGCUCGGAAUCACUGGGCGUAGAGCGCACGUAGGCGGCUUCUUAAGUCAGGGGUGAAAUCCUGGAGCUCAACUCCAGAACUGCCUUUGAUACUGAGGAGCUCGAGUCCGGAAGAGGUGAGUGGAACUGCGAGUGUAGAGGUGAAAUUCGUAGAUAUUCGCAAGAACACCAGUGGCGAAGGCGGCUCACUGGCCCGAUACUGACGCUGAGGCACGAAAGCGUGGGGAGCAAACAGG